rnacentral:rRNA from 1 species
GACGAACGCUGGCGGUGUGCUUCACACAUGCAAGUCGAACGAGGUAGCAAUACCUAGUGGCGGACGGGUGAGUAACGCGUGGGAAUCUGCCCAUAGGUGGGGGGAUAACUAGCCGAAAGGUUAGCUAAUACCGCAUAUGCCGAGAGGUAAAAGGAGUAAUCCGCCUUUGGAUGAGCCCGCGUCCGAUUAGCUAGUUGGUAGGGUAAAAGCCUACCAAGGCUACGAUCGGUAGCUGGUCUGAGAGGAUGAUCAGCCACAAUGGGACUGAGACACGGCCCAUACUCCUACGGGAGGCAGCAGUGGGGAAUUUUACGCAAUGGGGGGAAACCCUGGACGUAGCGACACCGCGUGAACGAAGAAG